rnacentral:rRNA from 1 species
CCUACGGGAGGCAGCAGUGGGGAAUAUUGGGCAAUGGGCGCAAGCCUGACCCAGCAACGCCGCGUGAAGGAAGAAGGCUCUCUGGUUGUAAACCUCCUUUGACAGGGAAGAGCAGAACACGGUACCUGUCGAAUAAGCCAUGGCUAACUACGUGCCAGCAGCCGCGGCAAUACGUAGGUGGCAAGCGUUGUCCGGAUUUACUGGGUGUAACGGGCGUGUAGCCGGGCUGACAAGUCAGAUGUGAAAUCCGGGGGCUCAACCCCCGAACUGCAUUUGAAACUGUUGGUCUUGAGUAUCGGAGCGGCAGGCGGAAUUCCUGGUGUAGCGGUGAAAUGCGUAGAUAUUAGGAGGAACACCAGUGGCGAAGGCGGCCUGCUGGACGACAACUGACGGUGAGGCGCGAAAGCGUGGGGAGCAAACAGGAUUAGAUACCCGAGUAGUC